AGAGUUUGAUCCUGGCUCAGGACGAACGCUGGCGGCGUGCUUAACACAUGCAAGUCGAGCGGAAAGGCCCUUCGGGGUACUCGAGCGGCGAACGGGUGAGUAACACGUGAGUAACCUGCCCUUGGCUCUGGGAUAGCUCCGGGAAACCGGAAUUAAUACCGGAUAUGACUUCGGCCGACAUCGGCUGCGGUGGAAAGAUUUAUCGGCCAGGGAUGGGCUCGCGGCCUAUCAGCUUGUUGGUGGGGUAACGGCCUACCAAGGCGACGACGGGUAGCCGGCCUGAGAGGGCGACCGGCCACACUGGGACUGAGACACGGCCCAGACUCCUACGGGAGGCGGCAGUGGGGAAUAUUGCGCAAUGGGCGAAAGCCUGACGCAGCGACGCCGCGUGGGGGAUGAAGGCCUUCGGGUUGUAAA
rnacentral:rRNA from 1 species